UACGUAGGGUGCGAGCGUUAUCCGGAAUUAUUGGGCGUAAAGAGCUCGUAGGCGGUUUGUCGCGUCUGCUGUGAAAACUGGAGGCUCAACCUCCAGCCUGCAGUGGGUACGGGCAGACUGGAGUGCGGUAGGGGAGAUUGGAAUUCCUGGUGUAGCGGUGGAAUGCGCAGAUAUCAGGAGGAACACCGAUGGCGAAGGCAGAUCUCUGGGCCGUAACUGACGCUGAGGAGCGAAAGCAUGGGGAGCGAACAGG
rnacentral:rRNA from 1 species